rnacentral:misc_RNA from 1 species
GUAGUCGCCCGGGUUGCCGCAAGGCCUCCCGUGUAACCUACCACCCUUUGUUUAUUACACUUUGUUGCUUUGGCAAGCCUGCUCUCGGGCUGCUGGCUCCGGCCGGCGAGCGCUUGCCAGAGGGCCUAAACUCUGUUUGUCUAUACUGUCUGAGUACUAUAUAAUAGUUAAAACUUUCAACAACGGAUCUCUUGGUUCU